UUAAGUCCCGCAACGAGCGCAACCCUUAUCCUUUGUUGCCAGCGGUCCGGCCGGGAACUCAAAGGAGACUGCCAGUGAUAAACUGGAGGAAGGUGGGGAUGACGUCAAGUCAUCAUGGCCCUUACGACCAGGGCUACACACGUGCUACAAUGGCGCAUACAAAGAGAAGCGACCUCGCGAGAGCAAGCGGACCUCAUAAAGUGCGUCGUAGUCCGGAUUGGAGUCUGCAACUCGACUCCAUGAAGUCGGAAUCGCUAGUAAUCGUGGAUCAGAAUGCCACGGUGAAUACGUUCCCGGGCCUUGUACACACCGCCCGUCACACCAUGGGAGUGGGUUGCAAAAGAAGUAGGUAGCUUAACCUUCGGGAGGGCGCUUACCACUUUGUGAUUCAUGACUGGGGUGAAGUCGUAACAAGGUAACCGUAGGGGAACCUGCGGUUGGAUCACCUCCUUACCUUAAAGAA
rnacentral:rRNA from 1 species